GUGGAGUAAAUUUAGAUAAUAAAUGGGUUUUGGGUAUUUGUUAGUCUCCGUUUAGCUUAGGUUUGUGUCUUUUGUUAGCUGAUUGAUUGUAUUGGAGAUCCAACUUUUGUUUUGAAGGGUUUUUUUUUUUUUUUUAAACAAACGUAGCUAAGGAAGUUUAAACUUAAAUUAACACUUCACUCGAGGUUGAUCAAACAGUUUAAUAUCAUUAUUAUUGUUACAAGUUAUUUUGGCUAGGUAGUCUACAAUUUUAUUAUCUUCUCUUGAAAUAUGUUGGACGUGC
rnacentral:lncRNA from 1 species